rnacentral:rRNA from 1 species
GAUGAACGCUGGCGGCGUGCCUAAUACAUGCAAGUCGAGCGAACAGACGAGGAGCUUGCUCCUCUGACGUUAGCGGCGGACGGGUGAGUAACACGUGGAUAACCUACCUAUAAGACUGGGAUAACUUCGGGAAACCGGAGCUAAUACCGGAUAAUAUAUUGAACCGCAUGGUUCAAUAGUGAAAGACGGUUUUGCUGUCACUUAUAGAUGGAUCCGCGCCGCAUUAGCUAGUUGGUAAGGUAACGGCUUACCAAGGCAACGAUGCGUAGCCGACCUGGGAGAGGGAUAGGCCCUACUUGAACUUGAAGACGGGCCAGACUCCGACUGGGAGCAGGCGUAGGGAAUUUUCCGCAAUAGGCGGAAGGCAUGCGGAGCAACGGCCGGUGGGUUGAUGAAGUCUUCGGGUCUGGAAACACAUGUAAUAAGGAAGGAGAAAUUUUUUAGUAACUGAAGACCUCUUGACGGUACCUAAGCAAAAAGCCACGGCUAACUACGGG